GCGCUCCCGGAGCUGCAAACCCGGGCUUCUUCCUUCCUUCCUUCCUUUUUUUUUUUUUUUUAAAUAUUCUUUCUUUUUUAGUCCUUUUCUCCCUUUCCUCCUGCCCUGUUUCCUUUUAGUAUUUUCUUUGUGAUUGUUUUUGCAAGUUUGUUUUAAAAGUUCACUGCAUGCUUUCUUUUCUUGUAGACCGGGAGACCGUGAUCUCACCCUGACGGCCAGCCGCUCUAGAAGAGUCAUUCUAGCCAUGAGAACUGCAGUUGAUAUCUUUGGCUGCCACUAAAUUUUACAUGGCCUUUAUCUAUUGUCCAUUUUGCGAUGAUGAGUCAAAGCCUGAUUGCCAAAUGAAGAUGUUUUGUAAGAUUGGAUACCUGCUAAAGCUCAUUUGCAAUUGCAAAGUCUGAAGGUGCUUUAAUCCUGCCUGUGUUUACAGAAGAAUGAGACCUGGAGGACAGGUGGACAUAUCCCCUGGAGUAAAAGGCCCCAGAGAGACAAGCACAGCCAGUCACACUCCACAGUCCACAAAAGCUGUCUCAGGAGCCACCUCACUAAUUUUUUGACCCUUGUUUCCUUGUUUGUUCCCAACCCCCACCCUGCAGUAAUUUUGUUAUUUCCAUUCCAUCCUUCCCGAAGAUAAAAGACACCGUGGGCGGGAUCCAUGAAUAAAAGUUGUUAUUUAUCGAUGCUGGUUUUAGGGAACAUUUUUUCUUCUGAUUCAUGAAGUACUUCUCUGCAUUCGAAAAGCAGUUCAUAAAUCGUUCAGUACUGGCAGAAAUUAAUAAUA
ensembl:lncRNA